UACGGGGGGGGCAAGCGUUGUUCGGAAUUACUGGGCGUAAAGGGCUCGUAGGUGGCCAACUAAGUCAGACGUGAAAUCCCUCGGCUUAACCGGGGAACUGCGUCUGAUACUGGAUGGCUUGAGUUUGGGAGAGGGACGCGGAAUUCCAGGUGUAGCGGUGAAAUGCGUAGAUAUCUGGAGGAACACCGGUGGCGAAGGCGGCGUCCUGGACCACGACUGACACUGAAAAGCGAAAGCCAGGGGAGCAAACGGG
rnacentral:rRNA from 1 species